UACCCUUCGCUGUAACCCGACAAGUGAACCGAGAUGGCGGCGAUCCCCCCGUCUCCCGUUGCCCUCCGCCCCGCCACCCCUUCCUCCGCCAUCGUCGUCCCGAUGUCCUUCUCCCUCCAUCGCCUCUUCUCGGCUCCACGCCGCCUUUGCUCCCUCAGGCUCGCAUCCCCCUCCUUCCGCGGCUGCCGCCGUGGCGCUACCAGAGCAGUCAUAAUGGACACCGCGGCAUCGAGAUACGCGAACGCGCUCGCCGACGUCGCCCGGUCGAACGGCAGUCUUGAGGCUUCCAUCACCGACAUGGAGAAGGUGGAUCGGCUAUUCGCCGACCCUGAGGUCCAGUCCUUCUUCGCCAACCCCAUUGUGGCGCCGGAUCGGAAGGCGGAGUUGGUGAAGGAGAUCGCCGCCUCCUGCGAGCUUCGCCCCCACACUGCCAACUUCCUCAACAUCCUCAUCGAGAUGCGGCGGAUCGACAUCGUCAAGGAGAUCGCCAGGGAGUUCGAGGCGUGCUGCAACCGAAUGACUAAUACGGAGGUCGCCAUCGUAUCGUCUGUGGUCCGGCUGGAACCACAAGAUCUCGCCCAUAUUGCGCAGGCAGUGCAGAGGCUCACCGGGGCCAAGAACGUGAGGAUCAAGACGGUACUCGACCCCUCCCUCAUUGCCGGCUUCACGAUUCGGUACGGGUCAUCGGGGUCCAAGUUCAUCGACAUGAGCGUCAAGAAGCAGAUCAAUGAUAUCGCUUCGCAGCUCGACUUUUCUUUCACCUCCCAUUCCCUUGACUGAUUAACAGGUGAUGUUGAACAAAAUGAUAAUAUUAAAAAGAUCAGCAUGUAUAAAAGUAAAAUGCAUUGCAUUAUGGUUUCUCAAGCAUCUGUUAGGAAGAUGAGGAGCCUGAAAAAUAAAGCCGACCAUGAAGAGACUGUGAUCAGACCAUGUUCAAUUUUGGGUUUCAGCACCUGACUCUAUUGAACUUUAUAAGCCUAUGGAGAAUGUAAAGCUAUCGUGCACGGCUCUUUUAAUUCUCACUCAGCUCUUUUAGUUCUCAUUGGUUUGUUGCAUAAUUAUCUUUGUAUGCAAAGGAUAUGUAUAGGGAUUGUUGUUUGAUAGGAAUGUUGUUCUUACUUGGCCUAUGUUUUUCCAAGCAUGUUUGUCUCAAGCUAACUGUGGAACCUGUGGCAUUGAGAAUAGAAAAGUUUUUGUAUGGAGAGUAAAAUAAAAUAAAAAUUAAAACAAGAGAAGAACAUUGUUGUAUCUUCUCAAAUAAAAGAGACAAAGAAGAAAAAGUUAUAUUACUAUAUCGCAACAGAGAUUCUAAAAUGCUAUAAAUCUAGAUUUUCUGUGGGUCUCAUUUGAUACAGCAGAGGGCCUGUUAUAGAAUGCAUCGUGUUAUGUGCAAUAGUGCAGGUUGUGUUGAACAAAAUGAUAAUGUUAGAAAGAUCAUCAUGUCUAAAGUUAAAAUGGAUCGAGUAAAUUAGAGACCGGUGGAUGUUUCAUUGUAGCCCAAUGAUGUGGAGUCCCUCUACUUAUGCUAUUGAUAUUACAGUGGAAUCAUCACCAAAGAAGAAUUAGUCGGAAGCAGGAGAUUGAGAUUAGAUGGUAUCUUGACACAGAAAGGUUUGGGUCUAAAAGAUAACAAGAAUUAGUAAUUGAGUUUCUGAUUUAUUAGUAAAAAUUUCUGGUUAAGACAGAUAGGGAAUUUCUUAUAUUCUUUGAAGCCAAAGAUGUACUCUCUUUUUCUGUGUUUUUUCUUUCUUUGCAUUGUCUUUUACCAAAUUAAGUUACUUCUACAUUGCACCGUUACUUUCUCAACAAAUCAUAUUUAACUAUAAGUAGCAUGUUUCCGCAAAAGACUAGCAUGAACUUUAAGUAGCAUCUCUCUAUUAUCAAAAUCAUUCUUAUAAUCUAUGUUGUC